GGUAGCUUCCUUUGCACAGAUCCUACCGGUAUAAAUAGGACUUCACAAUUUCUUAGUUAGAUUUUCAAUGUAACUAUUCUUGAAUCAAUAAUAUCAUAUUCAUUUUACCUCUCUCUGACUCUCAAAUAUGGUAUCAAGAGCUCAAGAAUCCAAGGCCUCUCAAUUCCUUUCUUUCUCCGACGGCAAAUUCUUCUGAACUACCACCAUCCUUGCCGCAAUCCACGAUGGUUCCCCAUCUGCUCCGCUCACGUUCUCACAUUCGAUCAUAGAGAAACUUACAAAAGGCAACUUUCUACUCUAGCGUCAAUAGAUUGAACUGUAAUCAAAAGCCACAAACUGCACUCGUAUAUUCUCAAUCCUAGCAUUCCACCAAGAUUUAUUUCCGAAGAAGAUUGAUCCAAUGGAUCUGUCAGUCCAGCGUACCAGUCUUGGGAGCAACAAGAUCAGCUACUCCUUUUUUUGGCUUCAAUCGACCUUGACAAGCAGUAUUUUCACACAAAUUAUUGGUUGUGUUCACUCCUCGAAACUAUGGGACAAACUUCAUGAGCAUUUAAAUGCUCAUAUGCAGGCUCGUGCGAAUCAAUUGUGCAUUGAGUUACGUCACACCACACUCAAAGGCAAGACUAUGGUUGAAUUUCUUGCGCUUGUGAAAGCCUUGUUGUGUCGCUCUCCUAUAUUGGAGGUUUGGUGUCAUCGCGUGAACAUCUUGAUGUUCCCCCCCAAGGAUUACCUCGUGAUUGUGAGUCCAUUUUACCUUGAUCAACAACAAACUUGCAUCUCUACUUCCUGAAGUUGGAGCUCUCUUGCUGGCUCAUGAAGCUCAUCUCAAGCAAUACAACAAACACGUAGCGACUGACUCAAUCUCUAUCAAUCUCACUCAGACUACAAAUUCUAAGGUCCCUCGACAAGCUAUGAUGAUUUCUGAUUCCGCUCAAUCACAACCCUCUCCCAAUAAUUCAUAUAACAAUUACUUAGUCAAUGACUAUUCGACCAACUUUUGAGGUUCCAAUCGCUUUCGUGGAACAGGCAGAUUCGGUCAUGGUCGAGGACAUGGUGGACAAGCCUGACUGCAAUGCCAAGUCUGUUCAAAUCGAGUCGCUUCUCCCAAAAUAUACCAUAUCCCUAUGUUCAACCUACUCAUUCAAUGAUGCAACCAGGUUUGCAAUCCUUCAUACCACCAUUGUACAUCUCAAGCUUUAAUUGUGAACACCGAAUCAGAAUUCAACAUUCCCUCUCAAUAAUAGUUCUGUCAACAUUCGGCAAUAUCAAUCGUUUGAAGGUCUUGAUCAGAUACAAAGAGGCAAUGGCCAAGGUUUGAGCAUCAACACAUUGGGUUCAAUUGUUUUUACAUCAUCAUUGUGUCCUAAUACCUCUUUCAUUCUCAAAAUUUACUGCAUGUUCCCCAUAUCUCUAAGAAUUUACUUAGCGUAAGUAAAUUUGCCAGGGACAAUUCAAUAUACUUUGAGUUUCACCCUGAUAUUUGUCUUGUCAAGUGGCCACGUUGAAGCUGAUGGCCUCUGAGUUUUCAAAUUAACUCAAACAGUCUUUGCAUUCUUCCUGGACUAGUGUUUCAACAAUGAAUACUAUGAAAUUGAUGGCCACAUUGUACUCAGAUGUAAAUGCAUCAAAAAAUUAUGUUUCCAUUUUGAUUUGGUAUAACAGAUUAGGACAUCCUAAUGUACAUGCUAUAAAAUUGGCUCUAUCACAAUGUAACAUUUCUCUACCAAAUAAAAAUGUGUUUGAUUUUU